AUUCCGCUAACCAGUCCCAACUAGGACGAAACGCGCGUCCUGGAU
rnacentral:hammerhead_ribozyme from 1 species